GCACCAGCCUCCCGCGUGUGCACGCCCGCGGCCGCAGCUGAUCCGCUGUAUGUUCUAGAAGAAGCCUAAGAGUGGGAUUCCUGGGGAUUAAGAGCUUCACACCUCUCGCAUCAUGGUGAGGAAGAACAGUAUCCCCAACGGCUCCAGUCUGAGGGGGACUGGGCAGAAAGACACCUCAUCAGAACCCAGGAAGCAAUGAGAAACUGUCUCAUGAAAGACUCCAGGGAAGAUAAAAAGAUACAAGCAAUGGAUACAAGAUCUCCAGAAGCAUGCUGUUAUGAGGCUGUGUCUACCCUGAAUUCUUAUGUUGAAGCCCUAACUCUAGAUGUGCUGGUAUUGUGGGGCCUUUAGGAGCUGUCUGCAAGCCAGGGGAGGGCUGUCACCAAAACCAUUCUUUGCACUCUGGUCUCAGACUUCACAGCCUCCAGACUGUACCCAGACUGAUGGAGAGACCAGAAUCUCUUCUCAAGCAUUGCUGGUCACUGUGUCAGGUGGAACAGAGAGCUGGGAACAGAGUGACACUCGCCACUGCCAUCCACGACUCAUCGUCCAGGACAGACACUAAAGCCCGCGAGUGCCGUCGUAUUGGGCCCCUAAUGAGGUCCGGGAUUUGGGCGCUGAGCAAGGAAAACGGUACGACCACAAGGCGGCAGUAACACACAAGGGAUUUUCUUCGGAGGCUGUUUUGACAGGUUUGCAUGUGAGAAGGGUCCUGGCUGCUUGGAACCUGCGAAAGGCA